rnacentral:rRNA from 1 species
CCAACCUGUAAACUCGUUUGACUAUUUGGGCAGGCUUGGGGUGUAUCCCACCUCAGCCUCCCAACUAUAUUAGGGGGAAAUYCCAACGGGGUCUCCUCCUAGUAAAUAACAAACCCCGGCGCUUGAUGCGUCAAGGAACUGAAAUUGUUAGUUGCACUCUUGUCGGCCCGUUUACGGUGCUUGUGCAAGAGUUGCCAUGACACAUUCUACAUAAAAUGACUCUCGGCAACGGAUAUCUCGGCUCUCGCAUCGAUGAAGAACGUAGCGAAAUGCGAUACUUGGUGUGAAUUGCAGAAUCCCGUGAACCAUCGAGUCUUUGAACGCAAGUUGCGCCCGAAACCAUUAGGUUGAGGGCACGUCUGCCUGGGUGUCACACAUCGUUGCCCCAACGCCAAAUGCUUCGUGCUAUGCGGCGUSUGGGGUGAAUGUUGGCCUCCCGCGAGCUAAGGCUCACGGUUGGUUUAAAUUUGGGUCCAUGGUAGGGUAUGCCAUGAUGGAUGGUGGMUGAGUAACGCUCGAGACCAAUCAUGGGUAACCUUAUCAUGCUUGGGACCUACAGACCCGCAUGCGUGGUGUAACCACUCUCACAAUGAGACCUCAGGUCAGGCGGGG